GUAUAAUUUGGUGCAGUGGUUUGCACCUUGGACUAUGACUCUGGAGACCAGGGUUCGAAUCCCGGCUCGGCCA